AGCUAACUUCGGUUAGUGGACAGCGGCGGACGGGUGAGUAUCGCGUGGGAAUUUACCAUAGAGUGGGGGACAACUGCUGGAAACGGCAGCUAAUACCGCAUACGCCCUAAGGGGGAAAGGCUUCGGCCGCUCAAUGAGAAGCCCGCGUACGAUUAGUUUGUUGGUGGGGUAAUGGCCUACCAAGACUACGAUCGUUAGCUGGUCUGAGAGGACGAUCAGCCACACUGGGACUGAGACACGGCCCAGACUCCUACGGGAGGCAGCAGUGGGGAAUAUUGGACAAUGGGCGAAAGCCUGAUCCAGCGAUGCCGCGUGAGUGAAGAAGGCCUUAGGGUUGUAAAGCUCUUUCGGUGGGGAAGAUAAUGACGGUACCCACAAAAGAAGCCCCGGCUAACUCCGUGCCAGCAGCCGCGGUAAUACGGAGGGGGCUAGCGUUACUCGGAAUUACUGGGCGUAAAGCGAGCGUAGGCGGUUUAAUAAGUUGAGGGUGAAAGCCCGGGGCUCAACCCCGGAAAUGCCCUCAAAACUAUUUGACUAGAGGACGGGAGAGGGGAGUGGAACUCCCAGUGUAGAGGUG
rnacentral:rRNA from 1 species